rnacentral:rRNA from 1 species
GACCGGCAAACGGGUGCGGAACACGUACACAACCUUCCUUUAAGUGGGGGAUAGCCCAGGGAAACUUGGAUUAAUACCCCGUAAUACUAUGAAGUGGCAUCACUUUAUAUUUAUAGCUCCGGCGCUUAAUGAUGGGUGUGCGGCUGAUUAGGUAGUUGGCGGGGUAACGGCCCACCAAGCCUGCGAUCAGUAACUGGUGUGAGAGCACGACCAGUCACACGGGCACUGAGACACGGGCCCGACUCCUACGGGAGGCAGCAGUAAGGAAUAUUGGUCAAUGGACGCAAGUCUGAACCAGCCAUGCCGCGUGGAGGAUGAAGGUCCUCUGGAUUGUAAACUUCUUUUAUUUGGGAAGAAACCCAUAGUUUCUACUGUGGUUGACGGUACCAGAUGAAUAAGCACCGGCUAACUCCGUGCCAGCAGCCGCGGUAAUACGGAGGGUGCAAGCGUUAUCCGGAUUCACUGGGUUUAAAGGGUGCGUAGGUGGGUUGGUAAGUCAGUGGUGAAAUCUCCGGGCUUAACCUGGAAACUGCCAUUGAUACUAUCAGUCUUGAAUACCGUGGAGGUCAGCGGAAUAUGUCAUGUAGCGGUGAAAUGCUUAGAUAUGACAUAGAACACCAAUUGCGAAGGCAGCUGGCUACGCGAAUAU